rnacentral:rRNA from 1 species
AGUGAACGCUGGCGGUAGGCCUAACACAUGCAAGUCGAACGGCAGCACAGGAGAGCUUGCUCUCUGGGUGGCGAGUGGCGGACGGGUGAGGAAUACAUCGGAAUCUACUCUGUCGUGGGGGAUAACGUAGGGAAACUUACGCUAAUACCGCAUACGACCUACGGGUGAAAGCAGGGGAUCUUCGGACCUUGCGCGAUUGAAUGAGCCGAUGUCGGAUUAGCUAGUUGGCGGGGUAAAGGCCCACCAAGGCGACGAUCCGUAGCUGGUCUGAGAGGAUGAUCAGCCACACUGGAACUGAGAGACGGUCCAGACUCCUACGGGAGGCAGCAGUGGGGAAUAUUGGACAAUGGGCGCAAGCCUGAUCCAGCCAUACCGCGUGGGUGAAGAAGGCCUUCGGGUUGUAAAGCCCUUUUGUUGGGAAAGAAAUCCAGCUGGUUAAUACCCGGUUAGGAUGACGGUACCCAAAGAAUAAGCACCGGCUAACUUCGUGCCAGCCGCCGCAGUAA